rnacentral:rRNA from 1 species
AUUGAACGCUGGCGGCAUGCCUUACACAUGCAAGUCGAACGGCAGCACGGGAGCUUGCUCCUGGUGGCGAGUGGCGAACGGGUGAGUAAUAUAUCGGAACGUGCCCAGUAGUGGGGGAUAGCCCGGCGAAAGCCGGAUUAAUACCGCAUGAGACCUGAGGGUGAAAGCGGGGGAUCGCAAGACCUCGCGCUAUUGGAGCGGCCGAUAUCAGAUUAGCUAGUUGGUGGGGUAAAGGCCUACCAAGGCAACGAUCUGUAGUUGGUCUGAGAGGACGACCAGCCACACUGGGACUGAGACACGGCCCAGACUCCUACGGGAGGCAGCAGUGGGGAAUUUUGGACAAUGGGCGCAAGCCUGAUCCAGCAAUGCCGCGUGCAGGAAGAAGGCCUC